rnacentral:lncRNA from 1 species
GAUGGACAUAGGUGUAGCCACGGUACUGACAAUAGCAGCUCACUAAGCAAAUGAAAUUGUUGUAAUGUGUGGUGGGUGGUUAACCUGUGAAAUUUGGGAAUCCAGAAUUGAGUGUGGCACACAUUUAUGUCAAGAAAAUGAAAGUAAAAAUCAUAGAAAAAAGGCAUCCAGAUGUUAUAUCAAAAGACUAAAAUCUUCCAGAGAGUAGAUACCUGUCAGCAGUUUGUUUUGCCUUCUUGGUCUUCCUUACAUUGGGUUGUGUGCCUACAGAUAUUCUCUUUGUUGUUGUUGUUGUUGUUUUUUACUGUUGCUGUUGUUAAAACUUCUCACAUAGAGCCAGUGAAAAUACCAUGAUUGUGAAAGUUAUUAUUAAGAAUGUACUGAUGAGGCUGUGACCUCUUUUAUAUUAUGUAGGACUCUCAUUCAAGGGAAUUAAAAUAAAAAGUGCAUAAAACUAAAAGUGAAGAAGAAUAUUACUAAGUAAGAAGUUGUGAAAUCACAGCAAAAUUGCUGAAUCAGUAUCAAAAUGAAAUUUAGAGCACGGUGAACAGUAAGCAGAACACCAAGUGGGAAGGUAGCCCAGCUCUCCCACACUGAGUUUCAUAAUCCAGCUAAGCAGUACUUUCCAAUGUUAAAAUAAAGCAUGGAGUUAAAAAUAACUCAAUUUAAGCAGUUUAAGCUAAAAGUGCUCUGGUAUGUGUUCCAUUGAUUUCUGUGUACUAUUCCAUGUGUCACAUGGCCACUAACUGGUUAAUCACUGCAGUAUGCAUGCUAGGAGUUGAGACUUGAGUAGAGAGAUGUGUUGGCUGAAGCCGGGUACUACAGUGAUGGGGAGCUGCCCACCUGCCCCACGCUGCCUCUGGUCCUCAGAGGUGCUGCUGCCAGAGCCUGGACACUGCCAGACAGUGUCAUCGCCAGGGAAAACAAGCUAGUUCCCAACUUGUUUAUCUCCAGUCAUAACAGAAAUAAAAUCUAGUCUGUAGAACGAAGGAGCAUCUCUGUGGUUUUGUAAGACAAACGUGAGGAGGCUUCAAGCUGCAAGUCUUUUAAGACUUUUUUUCAUAUGUGCAGGCUCUUUGGUAUUAUUUAUGAGUUGUUUCUAAAUUUGCGCAUCUUCCAAUAAAAUGAAAUACUGUGGUAUCAAAGCCUAUAAUCACUACCAAAUAUCAAGUAUCGAAAGUCUUAAGUUCCCUCAGUGGGGCUACAUGUAAGUGAUGGUGGGCAAGAAUCAAUUCACUGGUUAUCUUUAUCAUGGGUCUACAGUUCCUCAUGAUUUGCAUGGCACACUUGAGAUCACACCAUGACAAAUGAGUGUGAGGGCAGGAAGCAGCGACUGCAUCAGCUCUACCUAGAGUCUUUGACCAGCCUAAUGGUUGUUUAGAAAGCUUCAGUGCAUCAUCUGGUUAAGUAUCUGCAAAAUUUACAGAACUAGACCUACUUAAGUUAGACAGUCUUCCUAAUCGCAGGGUCACAGAAUGGCUGAAAUUGGCAAGGACCUCUGGGCCCAUCCAGUCCAAACCCUGUUAAAGCAGAGAUACCCAGAGUGCCCAGGACCAUGUCCAGAACAUAGGAUCACUGAACUUAAACUGGAGUCCAUUUGACACUAUGGCAAGAAGUGGCAGCCAAUACAAAUCUGAUGGAGUUUCAACUGCAGAAGGCUUAAUCCAAAUCAGAACAAGAACAUAUGUUAAAGAUAUAUUUUCCUUCUAGUUCAAUCGGAGCGAUUUGACUCCCAUUGCAUGCUGUAAUAUAUUGGCACCUAGUGGAAGGUAGUUGUAAUUGCAAUGUAAAUUUUGAAAAAUUCAAAACAUUUACUCAAAGUUCUGUAUUUGCUAUUUUUAAAAAAUACUAAGUAUUUGUGGUUGAAAAUAGAUUUGGUGGUGGUGCUUGGAGAAGAUGUGAAUUCAAUGCUUUUUUAGCAAUUGGAAUUGUUAUAAUGGUUAGAACCAUUACAAUGGUUUAUUUACCAAUGAUCUGGAAAAGAAAUCGAUUACUUGUCAGGGAAAAUACUGUUCCUAUAUGAAAAUAUACAAAUUAUAAAAUCUUUACCUCAAUUUACCUUUCAGGAAGGGAAAAUGCCACCAAUUGUGUUUCAGUACAGAGAAAGAAAGGUUCAUUAAAUAGGAGAGACAUAAGAAGUAAAAUAAUGUUAUCUUCUUUAUAUGAUAGUAAUAACCAAAUACGAUGACAUGUAUGCAUACAUACUUAAUAUCAGAUCUUCACUCACAGAAUGAGAGUCCAACAACUCAAAUAAAGCUGAAAAGGAGUUGAGAAUCUGUCUUCCCUGCACAUUGAAACUGUUGAACAUUGUUUGAAAACUACCCUUGAUCUAAAAUAGAAAGGACCCUCUGUUAAUGGAAACAGACUGACAUAUUUGUUGUUUUUGUUGUUUUAUUUGUUUUGUUUUGUUUUAUUUUGUAGGAUUUUUUACAGUGAUGGUAAGACGUUCUAAUAGUCAUUGGGCAAACAAACAGGACUUCAGCAUUUGUCAGUGGUGUUGAUAUAAUCAGAAACUUUAUAAAAGUCGUUUGAAGACGUGACAUAAAAGUAUGUGAAAGCUGAAAGCAGGUAAUCUGAAAAUUUGAAAUGAAUAAUUGAGGAUGAUUUGAAAAAAAAAAAAAGAAAAAGAAAAGGAAAAAGAAAAAGAAAAAGAGCAACAAAAGCACCAAAUAGAAAAAUGGUAAAGGAAACAGGGUUUUUCCAAAAGGAGAUAAGGGAAUACAAGACAUUCUGGAAUGCAUGAAGAGUGACUCAGUAGAUUAUUUCAGUGUUUAUCCUCUAUUCAGAAAUGAAAGAGGAUGAAUAGGCAAAAGCCUCAAAGGAUAAUAAAAAGCUGAAUAUUAUUUGUUAGCUUUCAAUUCACUGGCAUACACAUUAGCAGGUGUUACUGAAAAGCUUGGUUUUAAAGAAAUAGCUCAAUAACCAAUGCCUGUAAAACUCUGUGAAGUACAUAUUUAGUGAACAACCUCUAAGGUAACAUGAAAUUUGUUAAUGAUUAGUGAAGACAAUUUUAAGCUAACAAGCCAGCUUGUCUGAGGCUUAUAACAAAAGGAAGAUUGCUGGUAAACAUGUAUAAAAUUACUUCAUUGUUUUGUUUGGAAAUAUAUUUCUUUUUGUUUAAGUGCCUACUGCAAAUUGGAAAAAAAAAAUCUGUAUAAAUUGAAAAUAAAUGAUGGGCCACAUGAAUCCAUGAGUAAUAUUCAAGGUUAAGUGAAUCUGCAUGCUUUUCAUGAAAAACUCAGGUCAGUUUUAAUUAUAGAGCUAUGACUAACGCCACCACAGAGUUUAUGAAUGCGUUUGUACAUCCUAUUUUUAAUGCAGGGUAUACUUUCUUCAAGGCAACAUUUGCUUAACUGUAGUAACAGAACAUGUUGUAUUGUAUGAGUGUGGCACAUGCCAGUCGAUUUUGUACUCCAUCAUUUUAUAUCUUUUGAGUCAGAGAAUCUAAUAGUAAGGCAUGGCAUGUAUAUCUAAUAUGGGUAUUUUCAUUUUUGUGUUUCUAAAAAAAUAAUUUCACAUUUUAAUUAAAUGAUAUGCGGCAGAUUAUUUUUUCCUAUUUGUUUUUAAUUAUCUAAUUAAAAGAUAAUUUCAUAUUAUUUCAGAGCAUGGGUCUGGCUCCUGGGUCUUUUUUUUUUUUUUUUUUUUUUUAAAUAGAAAGUGAAUGGAGGUAAACUUAUUUUAAAUGAUUGAAAUAGAAAUUACUAGCAGUACACACACAGUGUGAUCUUGGAAAUAAUUAGUCUAAUUACUCUUCAAUCUGUGAUCUUAAUUGUACAACUUUGUGAUAAUAAAAAUGAAAAAGGUCUUAAAUAACAACGAGUUUGGAUUUGCACAUUUAGCAAAAUUUGUUUUUCACAAUUACUUUUUGUAUUUAAGUGGAUCAGGAAUGAGGAUUUAUUUCACUUUUCAGAGGAGCAUAUGCACAACUGUAUGAUUUAGGAUAACUUUCAGCUCUUUCAAAACUGGAUGGAAAGAUACUGACUGCAGUGAAAGUGUGUAAUUACAUCUACCUAAUGGCUUUAAACUGGCAGAGGGUAGAUUUAAACUAGAUAUUAGGAAUAAAUUCUUUCCUAGGAGAGUGGUGAGUCACUGGAGCAGGUUGCCCAGUGAAGUUGUGGCUGCCUCCUCCCUGGAAGCAUUCAAGGCCAGGCUGGAUGAAGCUUUGAGCAACCUGGUUUAGAGGGAGGUGUCCCUGCCUAUAGCAGGGGGUUGGAGCUAAAGGUGCCCUCCAACCCAGACCAUUUUAUCAUUCUAUGAUUCUGUGAUGUGUAGAGACAGUGGGAACCUCGGGGGUCUGAGUGGGCUGAGGUGCCCAUGGGGUGGGGAUGUAGCAUUGGCCUCCCAUGCAGGGCUGGUGAGAUCACUUCUAGUACUCAAAUCCAGGCACCAAGACUCAGUACCUUGGGAUGGUGAAGAGGUUGUUUCCACUUUUCUCCAAAUUUUUGUGCAGUUCUACAUUUAUCACGUUCUUUUCCUGAAUUCUUUUUAAUUAUCGCAGCUGCUCCACUUUUUGAAUCCAUGAUGUCUGUGAAGUCAAAAAUAAAAAGUGCGAAAUAAAAGGUUUGCUUAUUCUAGAAUAUAUUCAAAGUGAUGAAAGGUUCUUGUUUUUCUCUCACAGAUGCUUAUUACCAAAAUUGGCUCCUGCCUUAGAGAACCAUGUCAUUUCAAUAGUUUCAGUCUUUAGAACUAAGGAAAAACAGAUAUUUUCUUCUCUGCAGGAGCACUGGAGCUCAACUGCAUCCUCCAAAACUGUAAAUGACAGCAGAUGAUAGUUGUCACAGGAGCAUAAGUUUAAAAGCCAUGUCCUUAAACGAUCUUUAGUCCAUGGGGAGAAACAUUUGUCAGAUGAGGAGAACGUUAUAAAUUUUAGGAUGUUCCUCAUGAAUAUCUGACAUAUGGAACGGAACUUCUUGUUUUAUCAAAGCAUUGCAAUGUGAAUUGUUUAAAACUUGUCCUGUCUAUACAACAGUGAGGUGCUUUUAGGUCCUGAAUGAGACAGAAAGCAUAGGUGUGCCCCCUCUGAACCAUUCAAACCAUAUUAAAAUUUCCAGUUCUGUCUAGACUGCAACUUUUUAAGUUCCUGUAUUCCCUAGUUAUAAUGUAGGGAUUGAGCCAAUGAGAUUUGGGUUUGGAGAGCGUUAGCAGCACAGGUUGAUCAAACUGAAGAAGGUAAGCCUGGAGAUGUCCUGUUCAUGGACUGCUUUCAGUCUUGUGUAUUGGCUCUGUAAAACUGCCAUGGGCAGUACUAUUUAGCUAUCUUUUUGGAGCAGUGGAAAAUACCAACCCAUGUUCUAUCAUAGCUCUUUUACUCGACUGAGCUUUCACUACAUUUUCUGGAUUACGAGGUAAGCACUACCGCUGCUGCACACUGUUGAGAACGAUAAGGAAAAAGGUUUUCACAUUAAUUUCAGCAAUGUUGAUCAUUUAUGGUGUUAAUUGGCACCAGGUAGUCCUAUUUUUGUACUAAUUCUAUCUCAGUUAAAAGAAAGGGCACUUUAAAAGCUGAAUUUAGGGAGGUUAUAAAGCUAUGCUGGCAGCAGAACCAUUUCAGGAACUGUAACUACCAUUUGGGAAUAUGCUUUUAUACUUCCCUGUAGCAAAUGUGUUGAUUGUUCUUGGAGCCUUCAUGGGAAAACAGACGUCAAGUGAUUUAGCUCAAGUCUGCAAAAAAGUUACUUUUUACUUUUUUUGUUGUUGUUUUUAGUACCAUAAAAGUAGACUUUAACCGAAGGUGUUUCAGAAGUUCUAGCCAGCAUUUCCCUGACCUUGCUACAGGUGCUUUUCUUCCUUGGGUGCCUGCCAGAAUCCAGCAGCAGUAAUUUUGCAGCACAUGCCCUGCUAGAACCUUGCACCAAUCUGAGGAAUGUGCAAGUUCACGGUGUUACUUGGCCAUGCAAUCGUACAUCAGCUGCGUUACCAGGAUGAUGAUUCACUGCCUGGGCAAAGGGGUUUUUUUUGCAGAGCUGUCACCUGCCUGGGUUGCUGCCACUGGGAGCUGUAUUGUGGCAACAUCAGCCCCAUAAAGUGCCGGGGGAUUGCUGCAGGGAGAGGGCUGGCAAACUGUAAUUUCCUGAGUGGAGAUGAGUUUGUUAUGGUGAUAAAUCUUUUUCUCAUAACUGCUGCCCACCAUCAGUGAUUUUGAGAAAUUUCUGUUGAUCCCUCAAGUCUCACUGGAAAAAAAAAAAAAAAAAAAACAGACUUAACAGGAUGGGAAAGAUAACCUGGCAAAGCUUCUGGCACGUCUGUGUCCAUGAUUCAGUUUUUCAUAAAUGGAUAAUUAUUUAAGUCUGUUGGGUUUGGUUGUUUUGUUUGUUUGUUUGGGGUGAGGGAGGGGUUGUUUUUUGGGAUGUUGUUUUUUGUUUCCUUUGAAAGCAAUGCCAGUGUUUUGUGAGCAAAGUGUUAACUUGCCUUUGUUUCUGCUGACACUCAGUAAUUUGCGUUAGGUUUAUUAUUAUUGGCAUCCCUAGAGACUUUUAUGGUACUGUGGAGAAGAAAGGACUACAAAGGAACACACGGCCAAAGAUAGCUGAAGAUGUGUGCACGUGAUAUGUGAUAAAUUUGUCAGCAAUUAAUUUCUUAAUAAGAGGCACAAUAAAUAGAGGGAUCCCCUUAAGAUGUGCUACUGGAAAUCCCAUAAGUAUUUUAAUUUCUUGAAUGCUCUUCUCGGAAAAGAAUUAAAAUUAAAAUGCAUAUAAUCUUUCUGCCAAUAAUUUGGGCUGAAAAGCAACUUUUAGUAUUUUUCUUCCAUUCACCCCCACCCUUGAAGCAUUUUGGCAGCAAUACCAGUAGGAUGGUCACUCCUCUGAUAUCUGAUGCUUUGCACUGCAUGUUGGGGGUUACGGUGCCUUAGCAGCAGAGCUGGAGCCGGGUGCAUCUCCUGGCUUAGGGAGCAAUUCUUGUCACUCACAUGGUCCCCGUGAUUAAGUGCUUCUUGGUCCUUUUAGGAAACCAUUUGCUGUCCUGCAGUGUUCUCUCAUUCACACACACUUCCGUGCCUCUCCAUUUAAUUGGUCUCUUCCUCCACUCAGCCUGCUGUGUGCUGUAAUGUGGAAGAGCAGACCGAACCCUGCAGUGAUUUAUGAGUGCUUCAUAGAUGGAGGCCAAGGCUGCUGCAGGCUCUGGUAACUUUAGUAACAUAAUACUAAGGGAACAUUACCAAAUUUUCCAGCUCCCAAAUUGAUCUCAAUUAGAAAGCAUGUUACGACGGGUGCUGUCCUCAGUCUCUUUAGCACUAACAGGGUUAAAUAGCAAAGUGAAAGGACGUGCUUUUCAUUUUCUACCAUGGAGGCACAACUGGUAACUGUGAUGACUGUAUAUCUUGGUAGGUGAAAAAUGACCAACCCGAGAUGAGCAAACACUGGCAGAAAGCAUAGAAGCAGACACAUAAUUCACAGGCCAGACAGCAGGAGAUAAGGCACUGCAUAUGAAUUGAGACGAUGUGGGUGUGAGAGCAGCGCUGAAAGAGGGGAUUUAACUGCUACACUGAAGGUGCAAUUAGACAAACAGCUCUUCUGGCUGUAUCUAAUCCAUAGAUACCACCCAAUAGCAGAAAUUGGUUGAAAAAUAAAAAAACAAACAAACAAAAAAAAAACACACACACAAAAAACAAUGCAGAAAUAGCAAGCUUGCUUCCAGACAAAAUAAAUAACAAUCAUCAGUUAAAAAUACCUAAAGAUAACAUCUGCCUUUUAAGUAAGCAGUCUAGUUCUUGUUUCUUUCUGAGAAUGUGUAUUUGGGUUCACAUUUACAGACAUUUUCUUUUGCUUUCAAUAGACUUUUCAGCAUUUUCUUUCCAAAACAUGGAUACUGGGUAACUAUUGCCUAGCAAUGUCAGCUGCCUCAGUGUACCUUAGGUUGGGUUAAAAUAGUCCUUCUUCCUUUAGUUGUAUUCCAUUAAUAUCCUUAAUAUCCAUUAAUAUCCAGUGAGGGUUUCCUCCAGAGCUGGGUGAGGAGAAAGGGGCUGGGAGCAAAGCUGGGAGGCAUUUGUUGGAACACGAAGCAGCUUCAAAAUGUAAAGCUGAAGCAAACUUUGUUUUCGCACCAGGCUCUAAUUGCAGCCCUUUGGGUUGAUCUCUCUGGCUCUGCGGUGAUUCCCUGGGUCAGCCUGUAAAGGCUGAUGGAGAGCUCAUCUCUCCUGAGAAGCACCCUGUGCAAUGCAGGGUCAGCAUCUGAAGCUGUAGAGAGCUCCUGUGUAUCUGAGGACACAGACUUGGGGAGGCUCCUAUUCCCUUGUUUAUGUAUUUUGCUUUUUAAAGGAGAUUUAUAUUUCCUGUGUAAAAAUUCUUGUUCUCCCAAAGUCACAAACCUACAAGCAAAAAAUGUUUUAUUCCCAUGGCUCAGGCGUGCUCUGAGAAUGAUUUAUGAGUAAGACACAUACACAUGGUUCAUACUUCAGCUUGCCAAGCUGUGGGCCACUUAGGCGAGCUUUGUGGAAGCAGCUGAUUGCACUUUAGGGCUGUAAGGCUAGUCUGGGUUUCCUGCAUAUCUGUUUAAUUUAGCUGCCCUUAAUGAUCCUGUACAUAUGUCCUGGUGCAGUAAUACUGUAUUACAAGCCAUCUAGCUUUUAUGCUGAAGAAGCAUGCAAUCACUGUGACUGUUGAAAUAAACCACUGUAAAACCUGGCAGGAGUUUUUCAUACUGUAUUUCAAAAGAAAUUGAACUCCUUCAGCAAAGGCUUCUCUGUAAUCUUGAAAAAGUUAGGGGGAUCCUAUGGGAAUAUUGUGUUCCACGGGCUUUCUUUGAGCAUUUAAGUAGCCCUAUAGGCCAGUGCAUACUCAGAUAUAAUUUUCUGGCAUUCUUGUUUUAUUUUUUAUUUUUUUAUUAUAAUAAUACUUUCCAGCUGGAUACACUUAGAUUGUCUGGUUCUAAUUUACCCAAAUGACAAACAAACGCAUUCUUAAGUGACUAGCUCUCCAUUCAGAAGUCUCAUAGCUUAGCUUUCCAAACUAUGCAUCUGAACUAUUUGAUUUUUUUUUUUUUUGUAGCACGACUAACAUUAGAUUUUACCAAUUAUUUGUGAAACAGACAGCAGUGACUGUAUAAAACAUGAUUUUCAUGUACAAACAUAGCAUUCUCAGUCAGAAUCUGCUAUUCUGGCAUUUAACUACAAUGCAAAUAGGGACUUCAGCAUUUCCUGCAUAGGAAAAUGUACAGAUAAAAUGCUGGUUGAAUCGUAGAACCACAGAAUCGUUUGAGUUGGAAGGGACCCUUAAAGGUCAUCUGGUCCAAAUCCUCUGCAGCGAACAGCGACACCCACAGCCAGACCAGGUAGCUCAGAGCCCUGUCCAGCCUGACAAUGAAUGCCUCUAAGGGUGUGACAUCUACCACCUCCCUGGGCAACCUGUUCCUGUGUCUCACCAUCCUCACUAUAAAAAACUUCUUCCUUAUACCCAAUCUAAAUCUGCCUCUUUUUCAUUUGAAACCUUUUCCCCUUGUCCCGUCACAACAGACCCUGCUAAAGAGUCUGCCCCCUUCUUUCUUACGGCCACCCUUUAGAUACUGAAAGGCCACUAUCAGUCUACUCUGCCUGAGCCCUCUGAGCUCUACUGUGUCCUAUUGUGCUCCUGCAUGUCACAGAUGGGAGGAAAAGCAUGAACAUAACAAUAAAUUCCAGAGCAGUGUGCAUUCAUUCACCUGAAUGAGAUGAUUUCAACACAAUUUUGCAAUGUAUAUAUAUAGCAUGUUUUGUAUCUUCCAGUCACAGUGCUUUUCUUUGUGCUAUUGAGAUACCCAUGUCUUCAGAUGCAGUAAAAGCAGCUUAGUCCCUCCAUAGCUCUGUACGUACUCUUGCCAUGAAUUCUGUUUAUGGAAGAGUUCAUUACUCUUCCUGGAGUCGACAGAGCAGGGAAUUCACUGUGUAAGCAGCUAACAUGAUGCCUAGAGGUAUGAACCAGAGCAUCCCCCAGCUCCCAACCUGCUUGCUAGAGCCCUGCAAAUCAGCAGGGCCCUGCUGCAAGGUUUCAACCUUUCAGAUUUCAUUGCCAUUCAAUGUACCACUUAAGUGCAUUUUAGACCCUGCGUUUUAAACCAGCUCUAAGUACAAUCUAGGGAUCUAUGUAACUGCACUUAAAUUUAAAUUCCAUUAUGUGACUGAAUAAUUUAUAAGUGUGUACAGGAAAGGUUAAUUGAUGAUAACCUUAAUUCUUGGGAUGUCAGAAGUAUUUUAGCAUUUUCUGAUUGAUUGUGUCUUGAAAUGUCUUAAAUUUUCUUUGCCAAGUUUGCUUUGAGUUACAUAGAAAAAGCAUCAUUGAGUUUCACCUCUCUCACUUUUAGGAAAACAGUUCUGUCAUUUUUGUACGUGCUUUAUAAAAUGUUACGAGUAUGAGCAUCUCUGCUUUGUAGAGGGAGGGCAUAGAGCAGAGAAAAAUCAAGUAACUUUAAAAAUAGUGUAUAAGAAGUCAUUAAAAAGCAAGACUGAAUGUUUUUGAAGAUUUUGUCAGCCAGGGACCUGUAUGGGAGAGGAGGAGAAUUUUUACAGCUGUGGUUACGGCUAGAAGACUACAACCACAAUGGGGAAGAUAGGACUAGACGGGAGAUGGUUUAGUAGGCAUGGUUGUUAUGGGUUGAUGGUUAUCUUUUCCAGCCUUAAUGAUUCUAAGAUUCUAUGAUUCUAUGCCUUUCUCCAGUCCCUACUGCCACAGCCUUGAAUAAUUAUGUAUAAAUGUUCAUUUGUUUUAAAUUAGUUGUAAAAGUACAUUCCAUAAUGCCCUAUCUCAAUAUCAUUACAAUGCUCAGAUCUUACUGAGACUUUGAACAAGCUCACAGGAGAACAUUUAUAAACUAUGAUGCUUUCAACAGUUUUGCUUUUAUGGCUGCUUUUAGCCACUUUAUGCAGUCACAGCAAAUAUGGAAUAGCAGCUAAGACAUCAGAGUUGGUUACCUUUUCAUCUCUUUUUAACAUAUCUUUCUUGUAAAACUGAGUCUUCCGAAUGAUAAUGUCAAAAAUUGUAUUUGAUGGCUUGUGUGUAAGGAGAUUAUGUACCAAGAGCAAUAGCAUCUGAAUAGGGUUUCCUUGCUUUUCAAUAUUUCAGACACUCAUUUUCUGGUCUUCAUGGUUGGUUGGUGCUACAGGAAAUGCUCACAUUAUGCUAAAGAAAUGAAUGAGACCAGGCAGGGCACAGAAUCAAGUUCUAACAGCUUCAUGAUAUGCAAAAAGACAAAGACUGCUUUCAUCAAAUCUCACCACGCAAGUAUACACUAUUUAAGCUGAAGUUUGAUAGACCCAGCCUGAGGUGCCCAAAAUGGCAGACUUAAGCUCUUACAGUCAUUCUUAAAAAAAAUCAGUUCUGCAUCUAAUCAUGUGUAAGCAUUUGAUUUUCCUUCCCAUUCCAUUUGUCAUUCUCUUUGAUAAUGAGCACUUGUUUAAUGAUGAUUUUAGGGUUCUGCACAGACUUUGCCUCUUCUUACUGUCCCAACUAUACAGUCACUUUGGUUGCUAUAAUUACAUUACACCUUACAAGUGCUGUUGGGGACCAUCUUAUAUAUAACAUGAAAACUGUAAGAACUGUCCAGCAUAUACUCACAAUAUACCUACAUGAGUGUCAAUGUGUCCACUAAAGACUUAAAUGAAACGGUAGAUACAAUAAGUUGUAAUAUCCAUGUAUAAGUGCUUAUUCUAUGUCAGCUAAAUUCUUUGCCAGGAGCAAUAGCCUCAUUUCAGAGAUUUUUAAGACUGAGAUACGAUAAUUGAUCUAACAAAAAGCGUCUUUCAGCAGAGCUAAAGGUACAAAUAGAUGUUAUGAAGGCUUGAAGGCUCUUUAACAAUAGUUGCUAAUCUAAACACUGAGUGUUAAAUUAAUCCGUGAUACAAUGUUGAGUCAUUAAAGUCAUCAGUUAACAAUCAGCCUUGUUUAACUGAAAACAGAGUUCUAGUUUGUAUUGAAAGAAAACUAAUGGGAGAAGAAAGACAAUUUACACAUUGGCAAAAUGUUUUUGGAAGAUAUUUUAAUAAUAAAAUAAAAAACAACUUGAUCUGAAUGGUCUAUAAUAUGUGACAACUAGAGAUGCUGAGAUAAAAAUAAAUUUAGACUGCUUACAUUCAGAAAUGUGGGCAAUUGAAACAUGUAGUUUACUUAAGACAUUACCAACCAAGAUCUCGUAACACUGAGUUAAGGAGAAUUAAAGUACAACUAACUUUAGCUAACCCAGCCCAAAAGAACUGUGUGAAACAGACAGAAGUAAAUCAUACCUGUGAAGGUGUUUGGCUUCUGCAUUGACUAGAUAAUGAGCUUUAACUGCAGGGCUAAUUUCCUAAUUUCUGUAAUUAGUAACAGCAGUGGUAGUUACAUAUAGUUAGAGGUAAUUAACUUUGUUGAGAAAAAUCCCUCUACACUCUUCCCACUGUGCUACCCGCUGUAGGGAACCUGCUUUAGCAGGGGGUUUGGCCUAGAUGAUCUCCAGAGGUCCGUUCCAACCCUAAAAUUCUGUGAUUUUGUGAUUUUUAAAUAGAUUUAGACCUAUGUGGUUACAGAUAAGUGACUCCAGAUGCAAAUAGGAAGUGUACUUUUGUGUGGAACAAGUUAUACAUUUACAUUUCUUUCUGCAUGUGGAAUAUACUGGCUACAUGUGAGCAGAAAGGUUUUGCUUCUAUAGGGAUGGGUAAGAAUUCAAGUCAUGAUGUGUAACUGAUACUGCACUGAAACAAAUAUCAAGUAAUACUCUUCACUGUCCUCAGCUCUUCUUCCUGAACAGUUGGCUUGAUUCAGCCCACUUAAUUAAACACUUCCUUGGAAAACAAGAUAAGCAUCUCAAUUGUAAUUCCAUCAUGAAAUUAUGGUCUUCAGAUUAGGAAAUCUAAACAUUCCCAAAUAAAAGACAACAAAAAAUGAACUUUUGUUGAUUUAAAAUUAAGAGGAAACUUCAUGUGGUGGAAUAAACAAAAGCUAACAAGCUAAUUACAAACUGAAAUAUAUUUUUGACAGUAUGAAAAUUGCAAACAAUCAGUUCCAAAUGUUAGAAAUACAACUAAUGGUUGGAAUAGCAACAAUCAAGUUUUACUCAAUAUGCUAAGCUUAAUUUCCUGUCCUGUAAAUCACAGAUGAAUCUCAUAAACAAGAGAGCUGCUAGAGAUGUGAUUAAUCAGUUUUUAUAAAUAUGGUGGUUCUGGCUGACCAAUUUUAGACGAUGAAUAUGGAAAAUGUGGGGAAUCAAAAAACAAAAGCUUUCUCAAUAUGAAUGAUGAGUGGGAAUAUUUUUUCUUCCCAGGUUGGAUAAAAUAGCCUUAUGGAUGCUGCUGCACAGGAGCUACAUUGCAGUCAUGUCUUGCAAUGCUCGUGUGGCCAUUGUCAGGAUUUCUCAUGCCCCAUCUGCAAAUCCCUGGUGCUGCUGCUUCAGCUGUGCACCAUCCUAUCAGAGCUUCUGAAGCAACAGGGCUGCUUUAUCCACAGAGUUUCUGCAUUACAGUGGACGGAGCAGUCCUUUGGCCACCCACAGUCAUCCUUCUGCUCUGACCUCACAAACCACAAUUGCUCCAUGCAGUGAUUCCAAGGAGAACAGCUGGUGGUUUUACCUGAACCAAGCAGUAGUACUCAUGGCAUUUAGAGAGAUUGCCUUUGCAAAGCCAUUAUGGGAAUAAUGUCACUGCAGUGACAGUGGAAACAUCACCUGAAAAAUUAUCUUAUAAAGUGUUAAAUCUGCUUGUGUUUAUGAAAUGUCACAUGGCAACAAUUAAACUUUUUUUAGAAGUGUGAAUCACCAGUAUGGAAUUGGUACUGGUGAGUCUGAGAGAAAUGGUUUGUUGAUGUGAAUCUUAUUUUCAAACAGUAAAGCAUGCUACUUAAAAAGUAUUUCCCCUGGAGUACUGAAGAAAUCUGCACUUUUUCUUUGGAAUAAAGAUUUUUGUUGUUGUUGUUGUUUUAUUUUGUUUUGUUUUUUGAAUGGCUGAUUGUUAAUGUAUGCUAUAAGUACAGUGGUUUAAAAUUAUGAUUAAAUUGAUUCUUUUACCCGGGUUUACUUUAGCACUUCUGAAAAAUCAUAUUUAUGUGUCUUUGAUAAAGUGGGCUUUUUUCUUUCAUUUUGUUUUUUUUUGUUUGCUUGUUUGUUUUUAAUAUAUAUAUUUUUUCUCAGCUGAGUUGUAAGAGGAAAUGCAUCACCAAGCCUUACCAUGCUGAAGAACAAAGUACCAUAAUUUGAGACACAGGCACUUACAGUCUUAGCAACCCAUAUACAAGUGAUGUUGUUCUCCACACACUCCUAAAAGGUUUUUCAACACAACAUGAUGUCACUGAAUCAGUGAGUGGCCCUAGCUCUUCUGCCAGCUCUGCUUCAAGAAUGACGAUUUGAACUGAAGACAUUGCAAUGCCAGUGUUUUGCUUAAAAACAAAUAAGUAUUGCAAGAAAACAAAGCUGAAAGCCAGCCAAACAAAAAAAGCUCCAUAAAUAUUGGUGUCUCUUAGUAUCAGGGAAGACUGAAUUUAAUGCAAGCCAUUAAUUAAAGAUUCCAAUCACUUUGGAGCAUUUUAAAAGCUGUUAUUUCAUCAGCUGUUUUCAAAACCUGAUCCUGAUCAAUCACCGUAUAAAUUCUAGUCCAAACCAUCUUCAGCAAAAUGCCAUUAAACCAUUUUAAUCUGUUAAAUAUUAUUUUUAAAUUAUUAAAUAUUACAAAUAAUCACACUCUCGCUAUCACAGACCGCUAUGUAAACCAAACCCAAGUAAACUCAGGGACUGGAGGACAACCAUCUGCUUUCUGGUGCCCAGGAGUCUGACUGGGCCCAUGUAUUUUACAGAAUACUAGACUAACAGGACUUCCCUACUUCAAAUAUACUUUAAAGUAUAGUCAAAAUACAAUUCUGAAGAUAUGAUUGUAUAUUAUGAAGGUUACGGAGCAGAUUGUCUUGAGUGCAAUCACACAGCAUGAGUGAGACAACCAGGGGAUCAGGCCUAGCCAAAGAAAGGCAGGUCCUGCUUGACCAAUCUCAUCUCCUUCUAUGACCAGGUGACCCGCCUGGUGGAUGAGGGAAAGGCUGUUGAUAUGGUCCACCUAGGCUUCAGCAAAGCCUUUGACACUGUCUCCCACAGUAUUCUCCUGGGGAAGCUGGCAGCCCAUCUUCAUAAAAUCCUUGUUUGUAUACAGCAGGCCUCUUAAAUACUAUCUGCACCUGAAACUGUGUUCCAAUCUAACCCAGAAAUCACAAGAGUUUGAGUAAUGACUCUGUGUUUAUUCUUUGAUUGUCUUCUUUACAGUGGUGUCAACGGGGAAAAAGACAACAAUAUUCUGAAGGCUUUUUAAUUUAACAUAGGUUAAAUUAAUUUACUGUCUAAUUUCAACCUAUAGUACUUGUUGGAAGAAAUAUUAACGUGGGCUUUUUAUCUGUUCUCAGUGUGGUCUUUGUCAGGAGUAUGAGAUGUCGGAAACAAGUUAAUUAAAGAAUCUUUAAAAAUAUAUUUCCUUCUGAAACAGAGCUGAGAAGCCUGACACAUUAAAUAGCAUUUCUUUUAUUCUAAAUUAGCCCCCUGGUUAUGCCUGAUACCAUAUUCUGAGUUUUGAAGCUCUGACUCUGGAAAAGUGCUCAGCACUUCACUAGAAUAGCAUGAUAAAAACAGUUUAUGGACCUAUUUUACCAAAUGACUUUUUGCAAGAAGUCCUCCAUAUACAAAUUAAAAAACAUGAGAGAUUAUUUCAUGCUGAACAUCUUAAAAAGGGAAUUUUGUAUCCACCAUGUUCUAAUUGCUUGCUCCAUAAUUUAUUGUAUAAAAAUUUAGAACUUUACAGCUCUGAGAAAUCUCUUCAGCAGAGCGAUACCUUUUCCUCCCACUUUUAGGACAUUGUUGUGAUCUAAAAAUUGCUUCUAAUUAGCUCUGAAGAUUGGUAUGCCACGCAUAGUGAAAAUAUGGACUCAAUUUUUUUACUGAUAUUCUUUUUUUUCCCCCAAACCAGCAGAAAUAUACUGUUGUAUUCACAAAAGUGCCUGAAAUACUACAUGCAAGUAUCAUAAACUCAACUUCUGAAUUUACUCAUACAUGUCUUCCAUUUGUAUUGUACACAGAAACAAUAAUUUGACAAACUAUGUUUUCUUUACAUAGUGAGCUACUGCUGCUUUGGAAUAAUAAUUCAUUCAGAUUUCUCUGAUUAUCCUCCCAAGUUCACAAAUAUAUAUUUGUCCUUAGUGCUGUUUUUAGGUACCUCAUAUUUGGGUUAAUGUGUGUUGGCAAUAAACAAGAAUUUGACUCCUUCUGGAGACACAGAUCAGGUUUUGCAGUGUUCAUUUUGCUGUGACUUUCCCUUUUUAAGCAUAUGGAAGAACAACGAAUGUAGGUCUGCAAAUGCUCUUUUUAAUCAAAUGGGUUAUUGGUGGCUUCAGGUAACAACAGCAUUCGUCUAUUUUCAAUUGCAGAUAGUUGUAAAUAUGCAGCUGCUCAUGUGGGUAUAACAACAGUGAAAACAAGUGACAAAGAUGACAUCCUUUGGAAAUCUCAGCAUUGUAAUUUUUGUUGGAUAUAUCCUCUUGUACCAAUAAAAAAGUGCUCUUAAAACUCCUAAAACUUUCAUUUUAAGAGUUUGAAAAACAUAGGUUUCUGAUAUUAUUGGUCUCACGUAUAGUCCCCUCUGUCACAUGCUUUGAAAUACUGAUGAAUAGCAAUUGCAGAGUGACUGUUUCAGAAAAUGAACACUCACUGAAUCCAAUUUCCCAGAAUGGCCAUAUGCAAAAGCCUCUCUUACUUGCACAAACAGAUUUGAUGGCUAUGUGCACAAAUUGUACCAUAAAGUGUCCACAGAGGCAAGGUUCCUAUUAGUCAUGAGUACUAUGGACAUGGCAUUCAUGCCAUAUACAUUUUAGGGGAAGCUUGCUUUCUUGAUUCACAGUCAGCAGGCUGAAUGUUUUACUGUAGCAUUCUCUGAGAGCACAUCUGGUUUGGUUUCAUCUGAAGCUAUCUGCACAUGGUUGCAUCUGAAAAGAGGCUGUCUGCACUUAGUCCUGGCCCCUCUGCUGGAGCAUGGAUUGGGUCUGAUGGUCUCAAAGGGGCCCUGCCAGCCUCAGCCCUUCUGUGAUUGUGUGAAUUCAGGUGGAGCACUCAAAUCCUGCUGCCGGUGUGAAUCUAACUGGUAAGUGCAGAUGAUCAGAAGAUUCUUCUUAGCCAUACCCUCCUGGACUGAAAUAAAACAUUAAUCCAGGUUCAUCGAGCAUCCAAUUGUCCUCGUCAGCAUGCUUGUACCAAAUUCAGGAACAUGAUUAUUUACAGAAGAAAUACUGCAAUGUCUUUUCCCUUUUCUUUGCCAUCUGUGAUGUAUUUUUAAAAAAUAUUCUAUAUCCUCUUUCCUAAAACAAAAGAGAAGCAUCCUAAGGGACGUAGAGUACCAGCGUGAUCAGGCCUCUCUCUGCCAAGUUUCUGAAUGAGUGCUUUGAAAAAUAACACUCCUUUCCCUGAAACAAUGGAUAUAAUUCUGAGGAAAAUUGUGUAAUCCAUCAAUUCUGCAUAGGUUUAUGGACUGAAAGGAAGGUUAGAGAGAGGGAGCAAACAGAAGAGGAGGACUCUGUGCUGGCAGUAAACACUAUUAAAUCCCUGUAGUUCCUGCAGUUUCAAAUUUGCAAAGUGUAUGAUAUGUCAUUUAGUAACAUAUGCUUUGUCUGAGUGCUCUCAGGGAGCAAUAGCCCGGCCUUGAAAAAUAUGGUGGUGGUUCUGCUUUGAAAUAUGAACAAGAAAAGCAGCAUUCCUGCUCUCUGUACAAGGCUGAACCAGAUGGGGAACUCUAACCAUUGUCAAAUCAUGAAGAACCCCAAAGGAUUUUUGUCUGAACUUCUUGGCAGUAGGUGAAAAUGCAGCUGAUAAAUGUCCUGAAAAUGAAAGUUCUUUUGAAGACAAUGGCCUUGCUCAUGAGCUAUCCUUUUGAGUGUUCACCUUUACAAAGAGCAAGCAGUGUCCAAGGGAAUUGCUGAGUUUCUCAUCUUUUCGAUGGUUGGUCCCAGUGGCAGAAAUAAAAGUUUUAAAAACAUCCUAAUGUUGGUGAGUUUUUUUUCUUUUUGUUUGUUUUUGUUUUCCCUGGGAAUACUAGAGUGCAAAAAUAGAAGGUUAGUUUUACAGAGAUAUAUGUUUGAGCCUGCGUGUUCUCAGUGUUUGGCAGAGAAUCCUGGAACUUCGAAGGCUACAGUGAUUUGGCAACUAGAAAAGGAAGAAACCUCUCUUUGCUUUGGAAAUGUAAUAAAAUCUAUAAGCCUCACUGCCUUUGUAGUUUUCUCCUGCGAUGCAUCAAUUUGAUCAGGAAUUACUAGGCUAAUAAAUAAAGAGUAUAUUCUACUUUUCUUUUUCUCCUGUGAGGAACUACUUAUUUGCCUGAUAUGUGAUUUGUGUUAUAUAUCUGUUUUGCUAGUGUUUAGUCAAAUUAUUACUCCUCUAGUGAGACCACCAAACACUGAUUGAUAAAAUUGUCCAUAAGACUUGAUUUACAGAUGAUGCUUGGCACUGAAAUUUCACUUUUAGGGCCGUACAAAACUUGAUUACCUUCUAAUAUAUAUAGUUUGACCUCAGGGUACUGUUAGAUUUUGGUCUGUUUCUGUCAUGCCAAAAACACAGACUCGUGGUGUCUCUUUCAAACUUUCAGCAGUAAAUUGUACACAAAAUGAGUAUGUAUAAAACAAAACAAAUACCACUGUCUCAUCUCUCUAUACUGCCAGAGGAUGCAAUUUGGAUUUUUCAUGAUAUUUUGCAUGAAACAAAUUGUGUUUAGUAAUCUGUUGUCUGAGACACUGCAGAUUUUCAUCAUUCAUCAUUCACAUUAACAGUGUAAUACAGAAUUGAGAUUUCUCUGUGUAUAUUCUGCAAUUCUCUCCUUAGAUGCUAGUUUUAGUUCUCUAUUUUCACUAUCAUUUCUAGAAGUGUUCAUAAUUAAAAUUUAGAAAUGGACAUCUUGAUAUUUUACAUCACUGCAAUGCGUGGAUGUGCAUGCUCAGUAAGUUCACCAUAAGGGCCUUUUCUUUUUUUUCCUAAAGCAAGUGAAACCUUGUUGUAAAUAAAACAAAGACAUAAAAAUGAUAGAUUCACCCUAGCAUAUAUAUUCUACUAUAGCAUUUAUAGUUCUGCAGAAAAAUGUGGUGCAGAUCAGAAACUGUUUGCUGUGAGAUCUCUGGUAUGGGCAAAAAUUCAUGCUCAGGUAUGCAGGACAGGAAAGGAAAAUCUUGGUGUUGCGACUGAAUUUUGAUCCUAUUGCUCCAUCUCUCCCACUACACAUCCCUCAUGAUUGGGAUUAAACACUAUAAACAACCAUUUAUUCCCUUGAAUUGCUAGUGUACUCCAAGGAAUAGUUUUAGUUCAUUUUCAUGCCAAAAAGCUCUCUGCUCAGGCACAGGCAGGAAUAACACAGGCUAUGGUAGUAAAAAAGAGUGCAGCCAUUUGGAUGUAACCAAGGUGUGGCUUGCACUCUGUUCUUAUAGCCGCUGUCUUUAUUUUCAUCUUUCUGAGUAUUCUGUCCUACUGAGGAGGAGCCAGAUAUGAUGAGGGGGUGACAGAUGUUGUUUUCAAUGCAGAAUUUGAUUGGGAAGGAGUUACAGGAAACAAGAUAAUCAAGUUUGUAAGUAAUAAUUAGUAAAAUACAUUUAUUCCUGCUGAUUGAGAUAAGGAAAUGUAUAUUGAGCCCUUCCUGGGCAUUGGUGUGCCUUCACAUUAGAACAGUAGACCAGAGGGUUGUAGCUCAAAGCUCAACUGCCUUUUUCUUCAGGAAGUGUUUUGCUACCAUUUCCCAAUGGGGCUAUGAUUAUGGGAUUUUUUACUUGGAAAAUGGGGAAAGAAGAAUAUUGUGCAUAACAAGAGUGUGAGUUAGCUUGAUCUUGUUCACAUACGCUGGAGUCAUCAACAUAUAAGACACUAAUAUACAAGCUCUAAUAAGAUGCUUUGGGAUCUCCACAUUUUUGAUAACAAGAAAGGUAUAUGUACAACCAGAAAACAGAUGAUGUAUUUUACUUAGUUAAAUACUCAAACAGAAAUAAUAUGCAUUGAACAAACAUAUUCAAAGAGUAUUUGUGAUGCACAUAUGUUUCAUCAAUGCAGUCCUUAAUAGGACUGCCUUUAAUUUCCAUAUUUCAUUAUGGUAAAGAUGUAUCCUUUCAAAUUCUUUCAUCAAAUCCUUUCAAAAUAAUAAACAGUAUUAAAGUCAAACCAAAUCAUUAGGGGGAAAAGGAGCUACCAUUCAGCUGCUGAAAAGAAAACUUUAAUGUAAAGUUGCCAAUAUUUGAAAAAAUUCUAAGCAUUUGGAAAUAAGUGUGAAAGCAGAGUGUUAUUUAGAUUCAGUGCCAUGUACAGCUAGAGACACAUAUGGCCUUUUUUUCCUUUUGACAAAUAUUUCUUAAAAAACAUCUGAUUUCUGUGGAAAUAUUUGUAUCACUGAAUGCUUAGUGAAUAAUUUGUAAUGCAGUUUUCCACCUGCAGGUUGUUUAGGAACAACUUAGUUAUAUUUGCUCUCUUGGGUUGUGUGAUUAAUUUUAUCAUGAAUUACUCACACUAACAGCAGUCAAACCCUGCAUGUGCUGUAGUUGUGGCCAAGCACAUGUACUCUUUGCCCAUAGCAACUUGCAUUCUAAUACAAAGCAGAUCCCAAGAAGCCCUGGGGAUGACCACAGACAGUGGAAUACACACUGCUUAUGCUGUUGAGCAUAACAGCACGAGGACUACGCUUUCAUGCUGGCCUGAUUCUGUCCCUUUGCCAGUAGUUGGAUUCAGUGACACAAGUCCCACGUAAGUAUUAUGCAACUUGGAAGAACUAAAUAAUUUGAGAUUCUAUUAGGGGCAAAAAAUCCCAACGUGUGUGUUCACAGACAGAUACACAUGCUUUGCAAGCAUCUCAGUCUGUUUCUCAAUGUCUCAUUUGUCACUGCAGCCAUAGCCUGGGUCUCAUUUUGCUUCCCUGACAAUGGCAGCUCUGUCAAGAAGCUGUGCAGCAUUCCUGGGCCUUCAGUUGCAAACAAAGAGGAGCAAGGCUGCAAAUUCUCUGCUAUCAGCAGUUCUUGGGGUUUAGACAUAACUCAGUAACAGACCUUGUUUGUAACUGAGAAUUAAGAGUAUUUAUACAGAAUGUCUAAAGUUGCUGAGGAAUCACAAACUAUCCUGCAAAUAGCUGUUGUCACAAUGACUGCAAACAAAAAUAAUCUCACAGAUAGCAGCCUAGCCCUUGUUCCUGUAAUAUUACAAUCUAUGCAUUCAACUCCUAAAAUUACUUGUGCAAUGAGUAAGCUAUUAACUUUUGUAUGGAGUAAUUAAUCAGCUGUAUGUGUUCCUUAAGUGAUGUUGCAAUCUCUUUGCCCUGUAAUUAGGAUUUGGCAGGGCAGUGAUAACUAUUAAGGGAAAUCAGUUUUCUGAGUACUGGAGACAGGGACAAAGUUGUUCCUUUGGCUUGCAACUGUGAUGUUAUAAAUGAAUUUUGUCCUCUUGGAAGGCUUACUCUGUCUCUGACCAUACCCAUGCUGCUUGAUCAAAGGUGACCUUCCAAUAGAGAUUUGAAAAAUAUUUUUAAAGUUCUCCAAAUAAAGUAAGAACAUUUACUUCAGUAGUUCCUGCAGUGGAAGGCAGUAGUCAUCCCUCCAGGAACUCGUUUGCUCUGGCUCCUGGAUAUUUGUAAUUGCAAGCAACUGGCAAUGAUUCCCAUUGGCUGAUAUAAGUCAGUUCACUAUCAGAGUCAGUGCGUUUCUGUAGUUCAGCAUAGUGGUAAGGGAAAUGUUGCUGCUUGGGAUAUUUGAUAAAUAAGAGGUGAACCAAAGUUACUUCAGCUCAUUAACAACAUCAUAAAACAGACAGUCCCAACCUACAGCUUCUGAAACUGUGGUACUUUGCUUUCUGCAGAUGCAUUUUCUUCCCUAAGUGCAUAAGGAAAGCAAAUCAGGGAUUUACUUUUUUGUUUUCUUUGCCUGAGGAUUAGUAAGUUUGGGUUGUAACCACCACAGGGACCUGCAGAGUGUGUUAGAGGCUGUUAGAGAUGUUGAGUAGGUUCUAUUGGGGCAAGUCCAAAUACUACAUCAGGCAGUAGCAUGAUUUUGCUUUACUUCUUUGUGAUGCCUUAGUUACAUACCACAUUCCCCAAGUUCCACACCAAAAAUAUCAUGUAUUAUUGUUGUGUCAUUUAACUAGCUUCUAGGCAUUGCACAUGCAUACACACAUAUAUGUACAAUUCACAGUUUGAAUUGGAUAUUUGAAGAAUUAAAGAUGAUGUAAAAUAGUAAUUUGGGUUUAUUGGAUGCACUUGGAUCUAACAAAUCUGUUGAGACACUGUUCUUCAUUAGAUGAAAUACUGGGAAAGUUAAAAUGAGUCAUAGAAGGAAAUGGGAGGGCAACUGAUGAGCAAGUAAUGGCACAUUUCACCGAAAUGUGCAAGCAGGAUAGUACUGAAUGAUAGGUGCAGAAUAAAAGGCUCUGUUUGCCUGCCAGAAAGGAAAUCACAUUAAUGCUCUAACAAUUACAGAGACUGAGCUUUAGAAACAUUAAUUGGCACCUGUCCAGUGAUUCUGCAAAACAUUUCUGUUGUGGUCAGUGCUGGAUAUCAGUGACUGCAGUUGUGAUUGUCCAAGUUUAGACAAAACAAAAUUUUAAGAAUACGUGUUUCAUGGUAUCUGUGAAAUCCCUCAGGACUGCAGUUGACCAUGCCUGAAAUAUCUUUGAGUCUUGGGAUAGACAUUAAGCCACCUUAAAUGGGAGUCUGAAGGUCCUUCUUAACUUCCAUAAGCUUGUUCAUGUUUGCAAGGCAUUCUUCCCCUCCCCAGCAUUCCUCCAUUUCUUCUAUGGAGUUGAUGGGGAAGAUAUGGGUCCCUGAUAAAUAAAACAAAUUAGUGAGGAUUGCUGCUGAGCAAAAAAAUGGGAUGGUAAAUCACAGCUGGUGAUUUGGUUAGAAAAAGUUUUUCACUCAAUGACACAAAAUUUACAUUGCUGCAAACUGAUUCAGAUGCAUAUCUAAGCUGCAUCAUAAUCUGGGACUAAACUGGUUUUGUACAAAUACCCUAUUUUGACUCUUGUACCUGUUUAUAAGUAUGCAGCAGAUAGAAGAAAGUAGAUGUCAGACAUAAGAAAGUAAGAUGUAAAUUUGUAUUCUGCUCUUGCAAGAACCAAUAUUGUCACAAAAGUUGUUAAAAUCUUCUGACAGUUCCCCUGUUGAUACAAAUGGCUUAUAAGAGCAUCUGAUUAUUUUUGAUCCAUGAAUAGAUCAGUCUCUGUUCUGCUCUGGUUUGAAGAUAUGUUGGAUUACUAUGGAACUCAGAAAGAAAAUUAUCUAUUGAAAUUAAUGCUUUGUAAGACACUUUUAAAAGAGUAAAGAGUAGUUUCCCAUCCAACUUCCAUAUAAAUUUAUUUAAACAACAAAGCUAUGAUAAUUUGAUUAAAUAAACCAGAUUUUCUGAUGCCUUGUUUUAAUAGAAGCACUUACCUCACAUCUGGACAACCCACCAAUCUGGAACAUGCUGUUGGCUGUGAUCCCCCCAGGCACUUGAUGUAAGCAUCACUGCCUGACUACUCUCUGAGGAGCUGUCAACAUGGAUUUUGUGUUUUGGCAGUUGUGGCUUUGCUUUCUCUUCCUAGUUUACUGAGGAAAAGUCCCUUUGCUUCAGUUUACUGGUGCAAACAAGCAGGCGAGCCUGUCCUUUACAGUACUUUUUGUAACUCAUGUUGCAAGCUUCACCUCCUUGUAUAUCUGGGCUAAACAUCUGUAGCAGUGUUUGGCUUUACUUCAAGAAGAAAUAGAGGUUUGAGUGUCAUGAACUGUUCACCCACCACUCAGUAUCUAGCGGUGCGUUUAGAAGACAGUAGUUUGAGUUAAAGUCUAUAGCCACGCAUCAGAGAUAAAGCAAACUACAUUGUGAAAGCUGAGGAAACUACUUUUAAAGGUGCUCUGUACAGACCAAAUUAAGGAUUUCAGUGCAUUAGGAUUUCUUGCAUUAAAGAGAUUUGCUCUUGGGUGAAGGCAGGUAGAGACUGUCUGCAGUGGGAGACAAAAUUACUGUUUUGACAGUGCUGGGCUUGCCUUCCUUUCCCUUCCUCAUGACCUUUUCUAUCUGGUACUUUGUUAUUCAUCAGUCACCAGCUAUGACUCAGACAUCAAGCCAAAACAUGUUAAAGAAAGUACUACCACAGGUAUGAGGAUUUUGUUCCUUUGUCACAGAAAAUGUUAAUUUCCCAAGUUUCUCAGGAAUGAACAAAACUAUACGAAUGGAUCCACCUCUCUACAAUUCAUGCUCUGCCUGGCUUAGUUAUAUUUAUUUUCUGCUUGAAAAGAAGACCCUUUUCCUGAAGGGAUUCCUUCUUGACUAAAUCGUAGAAUCUUACAAUGGUUUAGGUUGGAGGGGACCUUUAAGAUCAUGUAGUUCCAAUCCCCUGCUAUAGGGAGGGACACCUCCCCCUGGACCAGGUUGCUCAAAGCCCCAUCCAGCCUGGCCUUGAAUGCUUCCAGGGAUGGGGCAUCCACAACCUCACUGGGAAACCUGUUCCAGUGUCUCACCCUUCUCAUAGUAAAUAAUUUCUUCCUGAUAUCUAGUCUAAAUCUACCCUCUUCCGGUUUGAAACCAUUUUUCCUUGUUCUGUCACUACAUACCCUUAUAAAAUGUCCCUCCACAGCUUUCCUUUAGGCCUCUGUCAAGACAGAUAAGGCUUGAAAACUGGACAGCCUAGCUUGCAUCUAUCAUCUUAUUUUCAAUCUAUGUGUUAGAAAAAGAAAUUUGUAUCCAGUGUAGAUGACUUCUUUUUGCCACUCAGCAUUGUUCAUGACAUAUCUGAUGGUCAUACCCAGCAAACAUGAUUAUAUUUUGUACAAAUAUGGAAUAACCAAGCUUGUAAGGCUGCCAUGAGGUCACAGUACUAUUAGAUCUAGUUUAGAAAGUCUGGGUGAUUUUAGAUGCAAGAGUAUGUGAUUGUCACUUCAUUAAAAGCACGAGGGCAGGAAAUAACGAAAGCAUAGUUACAACACAGCCAGAGCUGGACUUUUAAUCAUUGUCAGUCUCUAGCUCCCAUUUGCUUUUUUCCUAUUAUCAAAAGCAAACCAAAAUUCCAAGAAACAAAUAAGGAUUUGAUUCUUUUUUUGUGUGUGUUUUUCUAGUGAACUCAUGUUAUGAUUCAGUGUGUGUCUUUGUAACCAUUUCUAAUCUCUUCAUCGAUCUGUCUUAGAUCUGAUCACAAGUACUAAACGUCAGCCAUCUCAAAAGUACUUCCUCUCUCUCCGGUUAAAAAGAAAUCUCCAAUGGAUAGUAGCCUGAAUGAAAGAUAAAAGAAUUAUGGGCCUCUGUAGGGGAAAAUCCCAUUGUAUUACAAUGAGAAAAUGAAAAUGCAUUGCCAGUAUUUGGCCUGGAAUAUAGAAAAAUUAGAAAGCACUUGACUACAACAAAAAAAGGCAAUGAAAGGCUCAGAAAACAAACAAACAAACAAACAAAAAGCCAAAACUUAUUUUCUUGUUUUUCUUUUUAUUUUGCUGUAUCUUUGUGAAACUCAGCAAUACAUCAAAUUAGAGGGCACUAAACUGAAGAUCAAUAAGAGGAGUGCUAUAAGCCAUGUCUGAGCGUGGCUAUGCUUGGGUGCUUGUGUGCAUGCAUAAAGAGAGAGACAUAAAAGCUGCAUUAUUUUCUACCACAUAAAGAAAUGAACUAACAGACUGCAGGUGGAAUAAUUGACCAGAAGAUCUUAUGAAACUGUCCUGUUUUCUCCUUUUCUCUGAUAUUAUUAUAAGUUUUCUACCAGCAUCAGUGUAUAAAAUUAUAUGGUAUUAUGGCAGCUCUUUUUUUUCUAUGAAAUACAGAAGUGCAAGAUAUCUUCAGAGGCCGUCAUUAAUAAACUCUAAUGCUCAUCAUUAGUUUAUAAUGUAAGUCAGGUCAACUCAACACAUCAGAAUGUGUGAAGGGAGGAACAAAAGCCUUACUGUAAUUCACAUUGCUAAUCUAUCUCAUCACAGUUAUAAACUAUGUAACUGCUUAUUUGACAUCUAGCCACAUUGGAAGAAAAUUUUUAACAGCCAAUUAUUUUACUUGGAUUUAAUUUUUCAAAAAAAAAAAAAAAGAUAAAAAGAAGCGGUUGGUCGGAAAGCACUACUCUUGAUUGAACUAUUCAUUCCUUAAGAAUUUGGGCUGACAUCUUCAAAGAACUCAUGCAUCAUUUUGUUUGUGCUUUAUAUUGUAAUAUCCAUCCCUUAAAAAUUGUUUAGUUGUUUUUUACCACUAAAGUAUUUCCUGCUUGUGCAAAUUAUUUCAAUAUUAAUACAAGAAAAUUUCACUCUAAAAAAGAGUUCUUAAAUAAGAAGAGACUUAAAUAAAAAGCCACUAAUAUAUUAUGUGCAUAACACACAUUAAAGGUAUGCUGUCUAAUGCCAAAAAUGAUACAAAAAUUGAAAAUUAAUGUUCACUGUUUUGUAAUGAGUCCUUUCUUCCCCAGUAUUUUUGGAUGUUUAUUUCACAUGAAAAGGUGGAGUUAAUCUCUCUCAUUCUGCAUUGGAACAAAACCAUGUUUUGCAACAUUCUACUCUGGGAAAAGAGUUUUAACUCAUCCAACUCCAGGGAGAGAAUUCAGAGCAGACUGAGACAGCAUGUGCACCUCCCUCAGCUUGGCACUGCCAGACACAGGAAGGCAGUUGUGGGGUAUCAAGAAUGCGCAAAUGAUGAGUUAGGGUGGUAUGGUUAGGUUGCAGUUGGUCUUGAUGAUCUUUAAGGUCUUUUCCAACCUGAGAAAUUCUAUGAUUCUAUGACAGUGGGUAUCUUAGGACUUCUGAAGCUCUUAUCUUUCCUAGAACUUAGAACUUAGUGGAACUAAGUAGAACUUCAGGAGUCCUACUUCUCUAAUUGGGUCAGAUAUUUUCCUGUUUUCUCAGUGUUGUUUUGUUGUUUUUUUUUCUUGUCUCACACUGAACAUUGGGUAUUCAUUACCUAUGACUGUGCCUGAGGAUUGAAAUGCUGGAUGGAGUCAGUAAACUUGCAGACAGUCCAUUGAUUCAGCUAAAAAUCUGCUGUUGAAACCUAAGGCCAAAUAACCUUGCUAACCUACUCAGUAAUUUAAAAUAUGUUUCAUAAAAACUGCUGUUCACAGAACAGUUACAGCCACACAUGGCUUGCAUUCACAAAGAGUUUUCCAAUGAAUUUGGUUAGCUUGAGAGAUUCAUUUCAUCUUGCCCUGUGUCAGCUGAGUGCAACAAGAAACAGAGAGUAACCCACUGCUCUUUAUCCUUCUAACCACGGAAUAAGGGAGAGCAGCUAGCACUCUUCCAUUUGUUAGCAAUAAAGGAAAGUAAGCGGUGGUAAUUUGGACCACAUCUGCACAUCCAUCUUUUUAUAGCAGAUAAUGGAUUGGGCUGGUGCCAGCUUGUUUGCUAGUGGAACUCUUUGUGCUCAUGCUGCCAGUUUUUUGAUGCCUACAGCUGAGCGUUUAGGAGUGAGAAUUAUUCAAAGGCAGCUUGAGCUUGCACUGGUCAUAAAUCCUACAACUGUGACAGUCUGCAGGACUGCAGUCCUGGAAAAAUUUUUAUGGCCAAAUGGCUAUCCAUCAUCAGUCACAUAGCAAGAGCAGCUGGAUAGUGCCAUUGUCAUCCCUGUCAACAGUAUGUGCAUGCAUGCACUGAGUGAUAAGGAUCCACAUUUUCUCCCUCAUAAUCUCCUAUUAUCAGCUAAAGAUUCUGUCCUGGAGAACAACAGACAUGUUUGGCUUAAAGAACAGGCUCAGAACUGCCUAAAUCACAACCUAAAUGUACUUGCUUGAGAUCUUUCUUUCCUUUUUCCCAUGGCCUCUGGCCAGUAUUGGGUAGUCAUGCCACUCAACUACCUACACCUAUGUACUCUAUUUGUUGCAAAGAUAUCCUCAUGAUUUAGGUAGGAAAUAUAUAUUCUAUUACUUUACAUCGUUAUUCUGUGAUCUGCAAACAGAUUGGAAAUAUUUUAACUAAAACUAUCAGAUGCAUUUUAUAGACACUGGAAAAUUUUGUAAGUAAUACAGUUGUAAAUCAUGUGAUACCCUUUCUGCUCUGCAAAUCAGUAUAUAUCACAGGCAAUUGCUGAUUCGUUAAUGAGUAG